GGCUGUGGCUCCAUGGUAGAGCACUUGCCUAGCCUGUGUGAGGCCCUGGGUUCGAUUCUCAGCACCA
rnacentral:tRNA from 1 species